GUACUGUGUGAAAGGAGAGAAGAUUAGCACUCCCCUUGAGAAGGAAGGAAGAGGUUCCAGUGGCCUUUACAACAUACAUAGAGUUAAGGCAUGGCCACCUAUUUCGUGGCAUCUAACAAAGUUUUUUC